UUCUGUAUAGUUAAAAUGAACUUCUGUUGUAUUGUGUAAAUUAGUUUUGCACUUGUAACACUAAGAUGGUUUGAUAGAAAGAACAUUUUUGCUUGAAGGUACACACAGUAUCAAAUGAGGUAAAAAGAGAAGGGUUCAUUGAAGGGAAUGGAGGCACCAGCAGCUUUUACUCCUACAUUGCCUAUCUUACAUAGCCUUGAGCAUUCCUUUCCAAUAAAGAGAAAGGAAAAGUCACUGGGAACCCCCAGAAAGUUGCUCCUUCUUUUUUUCUCCUACACUUCCUUUCAUUUGUGUGAAAUACAUGGGUACAUAAAUAGCCCAUGUAACCCUUCUCUUCCCCCCUUUCUGGCCCACCUUCUCUCUAUUUUUUCCAACAGAUAAUCUGAUUUACAACAUAAUUAUGUUCACUAAUUAAUAAUGUGCAGCUCAGGAGAAGGAAAGUCAUUUAGUAUGGAAAAAUUAUGAUGUAGAAUUAAGGGUUCAGAUAUGUGAACAUGUUUUGGUGGAAUAGCAAGUUUCCUACACUGUCUAACUGUUGGUAACUGUCCAUUAUUACACUUUAGAUCAUGAAUUUAGAGUGCUUUGAUUCAGUCCUUUGGCCAGCAUUCAUUUACCCAGCUUCUUUUUUCCCUUCUUCAAGCUGCAUGUCCAAAACACAGUGUAGUUCUACAUUUAUUGACUUCAGAAAAAGGACUUGAUGCCUCAGAAAUGUCAUUAUAUGCAAAAUGUCUGCAGAGUGGGGAAGGUAAAAUAAUUGGUAGCAACUUUCUUCCAGUGGAAAGUGAAGUCCAGUGCAACAGUAUAAACCUUAAAGCUCUAGGGCAGAUCCCUAGAAAAUGUUCUGUUGUGUGCAAUGGGUUGUACUGGAUGAGUUUUGUAAAACUGAAUAGUGUUGCCUUGGUGUAAUUGUUAUGAAUGUAAACAUAUGUGAAAGGGGAGAUGGCAGUAGUAUAAAAGCAUAAUGACUGGAAUUUCUUCCUUUGAAAUAUACUCUCAUGUCAAAAGCUACUUUCUUGCACAGUAAAUUGGAUCACAGCAAAUACAUUAUUGAUUAUGUUAUUGUAAAUCGUUUGCAGGUGAGAGAUAUUUUGUAUUAUUACUUGUUCAGAGUCCAACAAUCAUGAGAUAAAAAGGACAAAUUGGAAUUUCACUUGAUGGAGUCCUGCACAUCAGAUAUUCUUCUAUCUGAAGCUGCCAGUAGUGCAGCAGAAAUGCCUAAAUGGUAUUAGGUAGAAAACUGACAGCAGCCUGCAUUUCUGGAACUGGACAGCAGAAAUCAGACCUAAUGCAAGGGAGCAGUCAAAGCUGCAUGAACAGAUGCUGAACUUCUCAGAGGCCACAAUUUGUCAUCUCAAAAUAUUUCGGAGAAAAUCACUGCAGAAUUUCACAUUCAUCAUGGCUUUAUUUUUUAAUUAAAGAAGAACAGCAAUCAUUAAAAUUAGCUUUUGCAUAUUCCAGAAAUGCCUUUGACAGUACAUGCAAAGGAGGAAGGAACUGCAGAGAUAAAUUCCAGUCAUCUCAGUUUUCAGUGGAAAUCAAAAAACGACUGGGAGAAGGUUAAGAAGUAAUGGGGUGAACAUUCUUGAGAAACACUGCAAAAUUACACAGAGCCAUCAUGUUGAACAUGCAGGGCCUAAUCUGAAACCUGCUGAGGUCAAUUAAAAUCUUGAUAUUAAUUUUCUCAGGUUUCAGAUUAACCUCAUCUUUAUUUUGUAGAAUUAUAUUAUGAUGGAUUUUUUCUAUCCUCAGGCUUACAUGCUUUUGUCUUCACACUUUCUGUAAGAUUCCCAAUAAUGCUAUUUUUAAUUUGAUGUUCAGGUUCUACUCCUUCCUGUGAGAAAUACAUUUGUAAUGCAAAUAGAAGCUGGAAAAUGGUUGUCUGAAGGUGGUGUUCUUAUACCCGCACUGUUCUUUCUAAAAUGCCAAGUAUUG